AAAACGGAGAGUUUGAUCCUGGCUCAGGAUGAACGCUGGCGGUAUGCUUAACACAUGCAAGUCGAACGGGCUCUUCGGAGCUAGUGGCGGACGGGUGAGUAACGCGUGAGAAUCUGGCUUCAGGUUCGGGACAACAGUUGGAAACGGCUGCUAAUACCGGAUGUGCCUAAGGGUGAAAGAUUUAUCACCUGAAGAUGAGCUCGCGUCUGAUUAGCUAGUAGGUGUGGUAAGAGCGCACCUAGGCGACGAUCAGUAGCUGGUCUGAGAGGAUGAUCAGCCACACUGGGACUGAGACACGGCCCAGACUCCUACGGGAGGCAGCAGUGGGGAAUUUUCCGCAAUGGGCGAAAGCCUGACGGAGCAAUACCGCGUGAGGGAGGAAGGCUCUUGGGUUGUAAACCUCUUUUCUCAGGGAAGAAUGAUGACGGUACCUGAGGAAUAAGCAUCGGCUAACUCCGUGCCAGCAGCCGCGGUAAUACGGAGGAUGCAAGCGUUAUCCGGAAUGAUUGGGCGUAAAGCGUCCGCAGGUGGCAAUGUAAGUCUGCUGUCAAAGCGUCUGGCUCAACCAGAUAAAGGCAGUGGAAACUACAUAGCUAGAGUAAGGUAGGGGUAGAGGGAAUUCCUGGUGUAGCGGUGAAAUGCGUAGAGAUCAGGAAGAACACCGGUGGCGAAAGCGCUCUGCUGGACCUUAACUGACACUGAGGGACGAAAGCUAGGGGAGCGAAUGGGAUUAGAUACCCCAGUAGUCCUAGCCGUAAACGAUGGAUACUAGGCGUUGCCCGUAUCGACCCGGGCAGUGUCGUAGCUAACGCGUUAAGUAUCCCGCCUGGGGAGUACGCAGGCAACUGUGAAACUCAAAGGAAUUGACGGGGGCCCGCACAAGCGGUGGAGUAUGUGGUUUAAUUCGAUGCAACGCGAAGAACCUUACCAGGGCUUGACAUGUCCGGAAUCCUGACGAAAGUUAGGAGUGCCUUCGGGAGCCGGAACACAGGUGGUGCAUGGCUGUCGUCAGCUCGUGUCGUGAGAUGUUGGGUUAAGUCCCGCAACGAGCGCAACCCUCGUUCUUAGUUGCCAUCAUUAAGUUGGGAACUCUAAGGAGACUGCCGGUGACAAACCGGAGGAAGGUGGGGAUGACGUCAAGUCAGCAUGCCCCUUACGCCCUGGGCUACACACGUACUACAAUGCUAUGGACAAAGGGCAGCAAGCCAGCAAUGGCAAGCAAAUCUCGUAAACCAUGGCUCAGUUCAGAUCGCAGGCUGCAACUCGCCUGCGUGAAGGUGGAAUCGCUAGUAAUUGCAGGUCAGCAUACUGCAGUGAAUUCGUUCCCGGGCCUUGUACACACCGCCCGUCACACCAUGGAAGCUGGUCACGCCCGAAGUCGUUACCCUAACCUUUCGAGGAGGGGGACGCCGAAGGUAGGACUGGUGACUGGGGUGAAGUCGUAACAAGGUAGCCGUACCGGAAGGUGUGGCUGGAUCACCUCCUU
rnacentral:rRNA from 1 species